AUUGAACGCUGGCGGCAGGCCUAACACAUGCAAGUCGAACGAGUGGCGGACGGGUGAGUAAUGUCUGGGAAACUGCCCGAUGGAGGGGGAUAACUACUGGAAACGGUGGCUAAUACCGCAUACUAUCGGAUGAACCCAUAUGGGAUUAGCUAGUAGGUGGGGUAAAGGCUCACCUAGGCGACGAUCUCUAGCUGGUCUGAGAGGAUGAUCAGCCAAACUGGAACUGAGACACGGUCCAGACGCCUACGGGAGGCAGCAGUGGGGAAUAUUGGACAAUGGGCGAAAGCCUGAUCCAGCCAUGCCGCGUGUGUGAAGAAGGUCUUCGGAUUGUAAAGCACUUUAAGUUGGGAGGCGUUACCAACAGAAUAAGCACCGGCUAACUUCGUGCCAGCAGCCGCGGUAAUAC
rnacentral:rRNA from 1 species